AACGAACGCUGGCGGCAUGCCUAACACAUGCAAGUCGAACGAACCCUUCGGGUCUAUUGGCGCAUGGGUGCGUCACGCGUCGGAACCUGCCCUCAGGUUCGGACUACCUCUGAGACAUUUGUGCUACUGCGGGAUGGUAUCUUCGGACCAAAAAUUUAUCGCCUUUAGAUGGUCCCUCGUUGGAUUCGCUCGUUGGUGGGGUCAUGGCAUACCCAGGCGAAGAUGCAUAGCUGGGCUGAGAGGCUGGUUAGCCACACUGGGACUGGGCCCCGGCCCAGAAUCUUCCGGGAGGCAGAAGUGGGGAACAUUGGACAACCGGCGAAAGGCUGAUCCAGCAAGGCCGGGUGAGCGAUGAAGGCCUUAGGGAUGUAAAGCUCUAUUACCCGAGAUCAUAAUGACAGUAUCGGGAGAAUAAGCACCGGCUAACUCCGUG
rnacentral:rRNA from 1 species